rnacentral:rRNA from 1 species
GACGAACGCUGGCGGCGUGCCUAAUACAUGCAAGUAGAACGCACAGUUUAUACCGUAGCUUGCUACACCAUAGACUGUGAGUUGCGAACGGGUGAGUAACGCGUAGGUAACCUGCCUGGUAGCGGGGGAUAACUAUUGGAAACGAUAGCUAAUACCGCAUAAUAUUAAUUAUUGCAUGAUAAUUAAUUGAAAGGUGCAAUUGCACCACUACCAGAUGGACCUGCGUUGUAUUAGCUAGUAGGUGAGGUAACGGCUCACCUAGGCGACGAUACAUAGCCGACCUGAGAGGGUGAUCGACCACACUGGGACUGAGACACGGCCCAGACCCCUACGGGAGGCAGCAGUAGGGAAUCUUCGGCAAUGGACGAAAGUCUGACCGAGCAACGCCGCGUGAGUGAAGAAGGUUUUCGGAUCGUAAAGCUCUGUUGUAAGAGAAGAACGGGUGUGAGAGUGGAAAGUUCGCACUGUGACGGUAUCUUACCAGAAAGGGACGGCUAACUACGUG